UGGCGAACGGGUGAGUAACACGUGGGUGAUCUGCCCUGCACUUUGGGGUAAGCCUGGGAAACUGGGUCUAAUACCGGAUAGGACUACGGCCUGCAUGGGUUGUGGUGGAAAGCUUUUGCGGUGUGGGAUGGGCCCGCGGCCUAUCAGCUUGUUGGUGGGUGAUGGCCUACCAAGGCUGCGACGGGUAGCCGGCCUGAGAGGGCGACCGGCCACACUGGGACUGAGACACGGCCCAG
rnacentral:rRNA from 1 species